GACGAACCGUGCGAACGUUGUUCGGAAUCACUGGGCUUAAAGGGCGCGUAGGCGGCUCCGAUAGUCGGGGGGUGAAAUCCCACAGCUUAACUGUGGAAGUGCCUUCGAUACUGCGGGGCUCGAGCGAGGUAGGGGGCAGAGGGAACUUCUGGUGGAGCGGUGAAAUGCGUUGAUAUCAGAAGGAAGCCGGUGGCGAAAGCGCUCUG
rnacentral:rRNA from 1 species